AAUAGAUGACGCCGUUGACUUUUUCUCACAUGUUUGACCAUUCGUCUUAUUCAAAAAAUUUACGUAAUUGUAAUUUAUUUUGUUAUGAGUUGUUUUAUUACUCAUAAUACUUUAAGUGUGAUUUAUAUUUUAUAUAUUUACAUAAAAUUUUUUGAAUAAGACGAAUAGUCAAAUAUGGAAGAAAAAGUCAACGGCGUCGUCUGUU
rfam:Oryza nivara chromosome 3, whole genome shotgun sequence.